UAGCCUAGUGGUUAAGGCUAUGGAUCGCCAAUCCAGAGACGGCGGGUUCGAUUCCCGU
rfam:Aedes albopictus isolate Foshan contig158387, whole genome shotgun sequence.